AGCAGACACUAGUGUUUGUGCCUCUAAACUUCAGAGGACAGAUGUUAAUUUCUGCUGAGAAUUUCCUUAUGCAGUACUGGGUGCAGCUAUAAAUUUCUACAGCUCUGCCAAGGAUUUAUGUUAAUAGAAGCCAUCGCUUAACAUCUUGAGUCUCAACUUAGCUUUAAAAUAGGGAAGAUAAAAUCAACUUCAUAAAGUGGUAAAGUUUGAAUCAACUCACGUAAAGUACUUAGAACAGCAUCAGAAACACGAUGCUGAUUGUAAGGUCUACAGCGAUGUUACUAGAACCGUAGUCCACAGACUUCUGCUACGGCAUCCCGCAACUACGAUCGUCCCUCUGCCGAGAGAUCAGCCAGCUAGCCAAGUAAGAAAAAGGAAAACAGCAGAGCUGAUGGCCAACUGGAGGGUCUCCAAGUGUCCCUCUGCCCUUUCCAUUCCAUGAUGGAGAAAUGAGGGUUGGCAGGAGCGCCUCGCUGAGUGGUCUUUACUCUGGAAAUACAGCCUGGAAUACUGGCGUCUCCAUAGCUCUGUUAUAAAGACAGCAUGACUGAUGACACCCUGGUCCUUAGAGCUUCAAGUGCGCAAUGACAUACAUCACUUGUAUAGCAAAAGUCAUGUGGCCACACCCAAUUCUGAAGGCUACAAAGUGCCUCCCUCACAUACCUGGGAGGAGACCGAGAGAUAUGUGGUGGUCAGCAUGAAGGACCAGCACAGCUACUUUUUACUUUUGG